GCUAUACGGCUCCUUCCUUUUCCUUGGUCUUCAGCCUCGGUCAGGUUCAGGGUGCGAUUUUGUUCAGUUCUUUGGCGUGGCGGACACGUGCGGUGCCGUUGUUGCCGGUGAUACCACGUGGCCGGAUUUUGUGGAUUAGCUGCUAGGACCCCAACAUCUACGAUAAAGAACUACCCAAUAUCUACGAUAAAGAACUGCCCAACAUCUACGAUAAAGAACUGAGCAAAAUUUCUCAUCCCCGGCUGACAUCGUGAUGGAGAUGGUGUCGUGGACCUUGGACAUCUGAACUCGAGAGACUGGCGGUUGAUCAUCCAGAUAGUUUCUGCGGAGCCACGUGUCACGGAGACCCGCUAUGAUAAGUGACCAUAGUUAAGCUUCACCCACGUGUCAGAAAUAAUUCGAACCCACAGUGUAGUUUAAAUGAAUAUUAGAUUAGAAAAAAUGUAUUUUGGUUCAUAGUGUAGAUUUAAAAUAAUUUCGGCUUGUGUUAAACUCGUUCGUUUAAUUCAUUAAAGGAAGAUAAAGUUUUUUGUUCGUUCAAAUUUGUAUUAAGUAAAAAAAUUUGUUUCCUCGUAUUAAAUUACUUUCUAGAUUGGUCUAA